CACUCCACUCAUCCCUCUCACCUCCUGCCUACUCUUCACUAUCCUAUAAAAAAAUAAGAGACUAGAUAAAUAUAAAUAUAUAUAAAUCAUCUUCUUCUCUCGGCUGUCUGGUUAGCGUUAGUGUUCUCUCUUCUCUAGGCUGUCUAGUUAGCGUUCUCUCUUCUCCCGGCUGUCUAGUUAGCGUGCUAUCUUCUCUAGGCUGUCUGGUUAGCGUGCUCUCUUCUCUCGGCUGUCUAGUUAGCGUGCUCUCUUCUCUCGGCUGUCUGGUUAGCGUUAGUGUUCUCUCUUCUCUAGGCUGUCUAGUUAGCGUGCUCUCUUCUCUCGGCUGUCUAGUUAGCGUGCUCUCUUCUCUCGGCUGUCUAGUUAGUGUUCUCUCUUCUCUAGGCUGUCUAGUUAGCGUGCUCUCUUCUCUCGGCUGUCUAGUUAGUGUUCUCUCUUCUCUAGGCUGUCUAGUUAGCGUGCUCAGCUGAUAACUAUAGAGUUAAUGACAGCCAUGGGAAGAUGGUAAAAACAGCAAAGUCAGGAAUGAUUUUGCUCCAUAGUGUCAAUGUCUCUUGUAUGCAAUAACCCGUUGUGUUACAACAUGUUGUGAUCGUAGAUCCAUUUGUGUGCUGUACUGUUUGCUGUUCAGCAUCCCAUCAGAUUAAUCCUCACCCAUAAUGCUCUGCGUUGCCUAGGUGCC
ensembl:lncRNA